rnacentral:rRNA from 1 species
GACGAACGCUGGCGGCGUGCCUAAUACAUGCAAGUCGAGCGAAGUUUUUCUGGUGCUUGCUCUAGAAAAACUUAGCGGCGAACGGGUGAGUAACACGUAAAGAACCUGCCUCAUAGACUGGGACAACUAUUGGAAACGAUAGCUAAUACCGGAUAACAGUAUUUCUCGCAUGAGAGAUAUUUAAAAGUUGGUUAUGCUAACACUAUGAGAUGGCUUUACGGUGCAUUAGCUAGUUGGUGGGGUAAAGGCCCACCAAGGCGACGAUGCAUAGCCGACCUGAGAGGGUGAUCGGCCACACUGGGACUGAGACACGGCCCAGACUCCUACGGGAGGCAGCAGUAGGGAAUCUUCCGCAAUGGGCGAAAGCCUGACGGAGCAACGCCGCGUGAGUGAAGAAGGAUUUCGGUUCGUAAAGCUCUGUUGUUAGGGAAGAAUGGAUAUGUAGUAACUAUACAUGUAAGAGACGGUACCUAACCAGAAAGCCACGGCUAACUACGUG